rnacentral:rRNA from 1 species
AUGGCACCACCGCGGCGCGUGUGCGUGACCGGCGGCGGCGGGUACAUCGCCUCGUGGCUCGUCAAGCUGCUCCUCUCCCGGGGCUAUGCCGUCCACGCCACCGUCCGCAACCCACGUGAUUCCAAGAACGCGCAUCUGAUGCAGCUGGACGGGGCGGCGGAGAGCCUGCGGCUGUUCAAGGCAGACGUGCUGGACAGCGCCGCGCUCGCCGCCGCCGUCGAGGGGUGCGAGGGCGUCUUCCACGUCGCCUCCCCCGUCCCCGCGGAUAAGAUCGUCGAUCCUGAGGCUAAAGUGAUGGUGCCUGCUGUGAAGGGCACCGUAAAUAUUCUUGAAGUUUGUUCAUCUAUGAAGGUUCAGAAAGUUGUGGUGGUGUCAUCCACUUCUUCUGUUCAUUUUAACCCCAACUGGCCUCAGGCUAAACCCAAAGAUGAGAGUUGCUGGCCCGACAAAAAAAUAUGCGUGGAUAAUGAGCUCUGGUACUGUCUUGCUAAAACUGUUGCUGAAGAAACAGCCUGGGAAUAUGCAGAAAAGAAUGGGCUAAAUGUUGUUACAGUAUGCCCUUGUAUUGUUUUAGGCCCACAACUGCAACCCAUUGUCAGUACCAGCAGCGAACUUCUCGUCUAUGUUAUAAAAGGAGGUCCUAAUGCGAUGAAGGACAUGCUGUUGCACAUAGUCGAUGUCCGUGAUGUGGCAGAUGCUUUGCUUCUGGUAUACGAGAAACCAGAAUCAUCUGGGAGAUAUAUCAGCGCACCAAAUUACAUUAGCACAAAAGCCAUGCUGGAGUUGCUGAAGAAGACGUACCCUGACUACAAUUAUGUAAACUGCAAGGCUGAGAUGGAUCACAACUCUCCUAUCACCCCAAUCUCGUCGGCAAAGCUGAGGAAUCUGGGCUGGAAGCCAAGGGAAUUGGAGGAGACGCUCCUGGAUAGCAUCGAAUACUACCGGAAGACGGGAAUUCUGCAGGAUGGCGAGGGAGAGGGACACGCUUGCCGCUUACCUGAUAUCUUCCGGAUGUUUCAUGCCUCCGAGGAAUGA